UACAGAGGUCUCAAGCGUUGUUCGGAUUCAUUGGGCGUAAAGGGUGCGUAGGCGGCGCGGCAAGUCUGGUGUGAAAUCCCGGGGCUCAACUCCGGAACUGCACUGGAUACUGCUUUGCUAGAGUACUGGAGAGGGAACUGGAAUUUACGGUGUAGCAGUGAAAUGCGUAGAUAUCGUAAGGAAGACCAGCGGCGAAGGCGAGUUCCUGGACAGUAACUGACGCUGAGGCACGAAGGCCAGGGGAGCAAACGGG
rnacentral:rRNA from 1 species